CCUACGGGUGGCAGCAGUGAGGAAUAUUGGUCAAUGGGCGUAAGCCUGAACCAGCCAAGUCGCGUGUGGGAUGAAGGUCCUAUGGAUCGUAAACCCCUUUUAUAAGGGAAUAAAGUGUGGGACGAGUCCUAUUUUGCAUGUACCUUAUGAAUAAGGAUAGGAUAACUCCGUGCCAGCAGCCGCGGUAAUACGGUGGAUACGAGCGUUACCCGGAUUUAUUGGGUUUAAAGGGAGCGUAGGCGGCCUUUUAAGUCAGCGGUGAAAGUCUGUGGCUAAACCAUAGAAUUGCCGUUGAAACUGGGGGGCUUGAGUAUGUUUGAGGCAGGUAGAAUGCGUGGUGUAGCGGUGAAAUGCUUAGAUAUCACGCAGAACCCCGAUUGCGAAGGCAGCCUGCCAAGCCAUGACUGACGCUGAUGCACGAAAGCGUGGGGAUCAAACAGGAUUAGAUACCCCUGUAGUC
rnacentral:rRNA from 1 species